CAAUAGCGUAUAUUAAAGUUGUUGCGGUUAAAAGCUCGUAGUUGGAUUUCUGCUGAGGACGACCGGUCCGCCCUCCGGGUGAGCAUCUGGUUCGGCCUUGGCAUCUUCUUGGUGAACGUAUCUGCACUUGACUGUGUGGUGCGGUACCCAGGACUUUUACUUUGAGGAAAUUAGAGUGUUUCAAGCAGGCAUACGCCUUGAAUACAUUAGCAUGGAAUAAUAAGAUAGGACCUCGGUUCUAUUUUGUUGGUUUCCGGAACUUGAGGUAAUGAUUAAGAGGGACAGACGGGGGCAUUCGUAUUACGGUGUUAGAGGUGAAAUUCUUGGAUUUGUUAAAGACGGACUACUGCGAAAGCAUUUGCCAAGGAUGUUUUCAUUGAUCAAGAACGAAAGUUAGGGGAUCGAAGAUGAUUAGAUACCAU
rnacentral:rRNA from 1 species